rnacentral:rRNA from 1 species
CCUACGGGAGGCAGCAGUUAGGAAUUUUGCGCAAUGGGGGAAACCCUGACGCAGCAACGCCGCGUGGGUGAGGAAGGCUUUCGGGUUGUAAAGCCCUUUCAGCAGGGAAGAAAAAAAUGACGGUACCUGCAGAAGAAGCACCGGCUAACUCCGUGCCAGCAGCCGCGGUAAU